rnacentral:misc_RNA from 1 species
CUGGGAGUUAUGGUGGCUGGUGGCCG